GCCCUCCGUUAGUUAUCAAGGGGGUGGCGACAGGUACUGGCUUUCUCUCAGAGUUAAAAGCCUGAUUUCGGAACCCUAUCACAACUACUACAAUAAGGGAGCAUAGCAAGAUUUGAGGUAGAGCACAAGCCCAUAUUGGCUGUAUUGAGAUGAUCUUUCUAAUCUUUUCACUGAUUCCAAAGAAUCUGGAAUUAUACUCUGAAGGAUCAAAAUUGGCAGAUAGACUAUGGAAAUCAAGGCUAGCUGAAU